GGGCUCGUAGUCUAGUGGCUAUCAGCAAAAACCAAAUAUGACGUCUGCUUGACGUGCAGAAGGUCAGCGGUUCGAAUCCGCUCGAGCCCA
rnacentral:tRNA from 1 species